UCUUGGCCACCUGAUCUGCAUGUGUGGCGCGACAAGGCGAUUAAUUGGCGGCCAGAGACUAUAAAAUCUGUGACAUAAUCGCGAUGGGACUCAGUUGAGGUGUUAAUUUCGCCAACAACGGAUCUCUUUAGCUCGCGCGCUCCGCCCAAAGAAAAACAAACCGUGUUGUUCGCAAGUGUUUGUCUAAGUUACACAGGUGAAUCUUUGCACAGAAAAGCAAGAGCAAAAGUUACAUUUCCGACAAUGAAGACGCCACUUGUGCUCCUGGCCCUGGGGGCGAUCCUAGUGCUCUCGCCUGGCGUGCUAGGUAGGCAAACCGUUUACACGGAUAACUAUGGCAAUUCCUACUAUCGAUACCAUGACCCGUACACGUACUACAACCCAUACACCUGGCGGCAGCAGCGCGUGAUCAACCGCGGAUCCUUCGAUCAGGACCUCAAUGCGCAGGGAUGCUCGAGGAACCCUUGUGGCGUGGGCGCUCAGUGCCAGGAAGCGGCUGGCGGCCGUCCAGUCUGCUCCUGUCCCGCCGGCUACAGUGGCAAUCCGCUGACGCAGUGCGUUCGCCUAGGCUGCAUUGAGCACAGCGAAUGUGGACUCCAUCAAGUGUGUCGAUCAGGAAGUUGCGUGAAUCCUUGCGCAGGAACUUGCGGCACAAAUGCCCAUUGCGAGGUGCGCAACCACGUGCCGGUGUGCAGCUGUCCGGCAGGAUACAAGGGCGAUCCCUUCAGCUACUGUCGCCAGAUGGAUCCAGCCGAGCUGUGCCAUCCGUCGCCGUGCGGCGUGAACACGCGCUGCGACGUGAUCGGCGGCACGCCGACGUGCACGUGCCAGGCGGGCUUCUUCGGCAACCCGUUGACGGGCUGCCGGCACGAGUGCGAGCAGGACGGCCACUGCGCCAACCAGGAGUACUGCCACGAGUUCAAGUGCGUGUCGGCGUGCAAGCAGUGCGGCCAGGGCGCCGCGUGCUCGCGCUCCACGAACCACCGCGCCGUGUGCGAGUGCCCCGCCGGCUACAUCGGCAGCCCGUACACGGAGUGCCGGCCCGAGUGCCUCGGCGACCGCGACUGCCCGUCCGGCCGGCCGGCGUGCAUCUACGGCAUCUGCAAGAACCCGUGCGAGGGCGCGUGCGGCGUGAACGCCGACUGCAACCUGCGCGGCCUCACGCCCAUCUGCAGCUGUCCGCGCGACAUGACCGGCGACCCCUUCGUCUCCUGCCGCCCCUUCACCAAGGAGGACCUCUGCAACCCCAACCCGUGCGGCCAGAACGCCCAGUGCACGCCCGGCUACGACAACACCAACCGCGAGCGCCCCGUCUGCACCUGCCUGCCCGGCUACACCGGCAACGCGCUCACCUACUGCUCCCGGGGCGAGUGCCAGGCGGACAGCGAGUGUCCUGACCACCGCGCGUGCAUCGCUCUGCAGUGCGUGGAUCCGUGCGUGAACCAGUGCGGCGUGGGCGCCGAUUGUCACGCCAAGCGUCACGUGGCCGUGUGCACGUGUCCCGCUGGCUUCACGGGCGACGCUCUCGUGUCCUGUCGCCAAUCACGCAGCUAUCCAGUGGCGCGCUACUACAAGAAGCGCGAGACGAAGGCCGACGAGGCGCCCAAGAAGGCCGAAGAGCCGGAAAAGGCCGAGAAGAAGGCCUAAAAUACUCACGAAGAACGACAAUUUCGCAAGUACGAAAAGAGAUUUUUGGGAUUUGCAAAUCUACACGGCGAAAAAUGAACCCAAUUCAAAUAGCUCUAACUAAUUAUGCGACGACACAAAAUCAUGCUGGCAAAUAUUGCAUAAAAAUUUGAUUAAAAAAACAA